UGGGGAAUUUUGGACAAUGGGGGCAACCCUGAUCCAGCCAUCCCGCGUGUGCGAUGAAGGCCUUCUGGUUGUAAAGCACUUUUGGCAGGGAAGAAACAGCCUGGGCUAAUAUCCCGGGCGACUGACGGUACCUGCAGAAUAAGCACCGGCUAACUACGUGCCAGCAGCCGCGGUAAUACGUAGGGUGCAAGCGUUAAUCGGAAUUACUGGGCGUAAAGCGUGCGCAGGCGGUUCGGAAAGAAAGGUGUGAAAUCCCAGGGCUUAACCUUGGAACUGCACUUUUAACUACCGGGCUAGAGUACGUCAGAGGGGGGUAGAAUUCCACGUGUAGCAGUGAAAUGCGUAGAGAUGUGGAGGAAUACCGAUGGCGAAGGCAGCCCCCUGGGAUGAUACUGACGCUCAUGCACGAAAGCGUGGGGAGCAAACA
rnacentral:rRNA from 1 species